AUGUGAUUGAGUGUCUCAACCCAGAUAAAGAUAUCAGAAGAUUUGAUGCAAAUUUGAGAUUGUUUCUCCAUUUCUUGAUAAUGAUAAAUGUCCCUUGACUACAAACAAUAUAAUACUUCAAUCAUGCUACUUAAGGAACACAGAAUGGGCUUGUGGGGUUGCUGUUUAUACAGGAAAUGAAAUGAAACAAAACUGGGCAUAAGUAGGGGCCAACCUGGAUGCAAAGAGAUGGAUAAUCGCACUACUUUAUCUUGUUUGCUACUCUAUUGAGGAUUUAAAGGGCCUAGCAGAGGAUUUGAAAAGCAUUAAUCUAGCCAAUGAAAUAUAAUUUUUUUUUGUUUUA